rnacentral:rRNA from 1 species
GGUGAACGCUGGCGGCGUGCCUAAUACAUGCAAGUCGAGCGAACGGACGAGAAGCUUGCUUCUCUGAUGUUAGCGGCGGACGGGUGAGUAACACGUGGAUAACCUACCUAUAAGACUGGGAUAACUUCGGGAAACCGGAGCUAAUACCGGAUGAUAUUUUGAACCGCAUGGUUCAAAAGUGAAAGACGGUCUUGCUGUCACUUAUAGAUGGAUCCGCGCUGCAUUAGCUAGUUGGUAAGGUAACGGCUUACCAAGGCAACGAUGCAUAGCCGACCUGAGAGGGGGAGAGGAAAGAGGGGGAGUGAGGACAGGAGGAGGGAGAGACGGGAGGAAGAAGGGGGGAAGGGUAAGAAAGGGGAGAAAGAGUGAAAAAGGAAGGGAGAGGGAGGGAAGAAGGGUGUAGGUAAGGAAAAAUAUGUGAAGAGGGAAGAAAAAAUAUGUAAGGAAAAAUGAGGGGAAAGGAGGUGAGGAAUCGGAGAGAGAGGGAGAGAUAAGGC